CUAGAAACUAAAUUCAAAAAUCAAAAUAGAGCUGCGGUUACUGGCGAAGUCGUUCUUAGAAGAAUGAGAGAAAAUCUUGAAAGAAAUGCAGAAAAUCUACGCAGAAGAAUAAGAAAAUAAAAAAGAGAAAAGAAAAGCUAGGGCUUCGAGAUCUAAAAAAGGAAGUCCAUGGGAUGUUACAGAGAGCACAGUUUGUCUCUCUUAGUUUCUCUGGAUUAUUGCUUGGAUGUUAGUUUAGCG
rnacentral:misc_RNA from 1 species